AAAGUGAAAUCCAGCUAUUUAAAUGAACCCCCAAACAAAGUUUUUAAAUAUAGGAUCAUAACAACACAUCCAAUCACUUUUUGUGAUCACCUUCUCCACAUUGCUGCUAACUAAUUCCCCCUGAUUUUCAUCCAUGUGGACAGCAAUGACCCAUCUAAGGAAGGCCCUGGGUGUAUCAGAAUUAGGGAUGGACAUCUGACAUCUUACACCUGACACCUGACAUCUUUGUCAACAGGAAAACAUUAUUGUAAGGAGGACUGAGACAUGGUGAGGCAACUCAUGGCUGGAGACCUGUGACUGACAUUUAGAGGCUCUUCAGGGAAGACGGGCAAGGAAGGUACCUUUUGCUUCCUUUGUAAGUCGCUUUCAUCAUUUGGUGGAUUUUUCACAACGAUUUCAAAGAUGAUUCUAUGAUGAAGUCAUUAAGAAUGUGAUGAGAUGCACUUUGGACAGCAAAAGCCUGCAGGCUGGUUUACAGUGGAUGAUGAAGGUUAUGCUGGGAAAUUGGAACCUCCUCCAAAGAAUUCAUGAGUAUUGCUACUUGAAUAAUGACCUGGUGGAGCUCUGUUCAUGGAUUACAGUGGGAUCACACAUUUACCAUUGAGUUGCAUGUUUAGUUCUUCCAUCUUUUACAUGGAUGAGGCAGGAGCCCACCUAACCUGCACUUUCUUAGACCCUGUUCUUAAAACAUGGAAUGGAUCUUCUGGGAAUCGCUGUUCAUGCUUUUCUCAGCAGUUUGCCAAUUUCUGCCAUCUUCAUGUGAUGGUUUCUCUCAUUAGACUGACUACAAGAAAGUCUGCCAGAGAUGUAGCCUGAAUGUUAGCUGCUCCUGAACUUAACCAAUGAAGCCCUUGUGAGAAGCUAGAUUUGUACCUCAUCCAGUUAUCUGAAUGUGUAACAUUAAGUAAGAACAAUGCUAAAAUAAUAAAAAUAAAUAAAUAA